rnacentral:lncRNA from 1 species
AAUGCAUAUAAUACAUAUUAUAUGUAAAGAUAUGUGAAAAUAUUCAAAAUUUGUACAUAUUAAAUAUUAAACAUGAAGAAUUGAGAAAAUGCAGGAGUGUAAAGCAAGAGAUUUUUCAAUUGAUGGAAGAUGAAGACAGAUGGAAGUACUAUAAAUUCCGGACGAAUAACGGCACUGUUUCUAGUGAAUGCAAAGGUAGGCAAGUAUUCCUUGUCUAGUAUUUUACAGUCUCCUCUUGUUCGUGUUUCUUUUUUCCUUUUUAUAAGUGAAAAUAACGGAUUGGCCAUAAUUAUGUCGGAACAUAAUCGGACACGUAACAUCUUAAAAUGCAACGUGUUACGUUAAUUGCAAUUAGUGGACUCGUUUAAUCGUAUCUAGUCGGACUUGGUUUGUGUAAAAAUGUUAUUAGAGAAACGCAAGCAAGAUACGAUAUCUCUCAUUAAUAAAAUCUGUCUGGAGAUUCUUUGUUGUCUAAAUUUCGUAUUACACGCCAGUAACUAAUGCGUUACGAAGCGGAAGUUAAAGCUUGCUACUUCCGGUUCGCGUUUCUUUCCAUUUCCUUUCUGGUCACAUAUCCUCCUCUGUGAAUUCUUACUGAAACGUCGGCAUUUUUAUGAACCAGGAUUCUCAUUCACUCAGUUUAAUCUCACAAAUUAUAUUUGCUUUAAUCAAACAAAUUUAUAAAUUUACGAAUUUAUAAAAUCCUUCUACUAUACUACACUAUAUUUAUAUAUUUUACCAAAUUUUAAGAAUUAAAAAAAUUCAUAAACAAAGAAUAAAUUCAUAAUAAAAGUACUUAGUCAUAAACUGUUUUGCAAAGCAUUUGUAUGUAUUACAUAUAUAUAUUCAUGAAACGUAAAUAAUAAAAUGGUUUUAAUGUAUGUUGAAAUAUAAUUAAUAAUCCAUGCACGUUCCGUCGUAAGAAACUUGACAGAAAGACUCGUCAUAUGUUCAUACAUCGAAUCCGGCACUCACGGUUCUUUUACAUUUUACAGUUGUUGGAACAGUGAUGCACAAUCGACAUUGCUUCGCAUUCACGGUAUCUAAGCGAUCUCAAAAUCUUAAAAAACGCAUGGUAAUUUUCGUGUACAAGAUUUGUCCUGUUCACUAUGUGCAAUAUUAUAGCAAAAUGAAGUAUAUUCGCAAAUGAAUACAGUUUCGCAUGUUUGACCGGCAGGCAUGUACAAUUAAAAAAGCUUGUGCACCACUGAAGUUAGAAUGACUCACAUUCGUCGGGCUCUCCCUACCAUUUCUUUCUGUGUUUUCGCUUCCACUUCGUUUUUUCCCUAUUUACGUCGCUUAUAUUCGUUACUUUUAGGCAUUUCAACGACUGUUUUGAACAGACGAAAAUAUCACUAGCCAAGAAGAUUGUACAUUGUACUUUUACAUCGAAACUUGUACUUUAGAAGAAACUUGUACAUUUCAUAAAGCGGACUCACUGGUUCAAAGUCGCAAAACCUUUAUCAGUACUUGAAACUGUUAUGACUAUGACACAAUGCUUCUUGGAGUUCCAUUAUCGUUUGAGAGAAAUCAACAUUAUUUAUAUUUCAAAGAGCAAGUUGCGUUAAAUGUGUUACAUAAAAGUUCUGGACCUACGAUAUUUUUUACAAACAUAUUUUUAAAAAAUCAAGUAACAAAUUUCACUCUCUGACAAAAUCUAACAUCGAAGUACUUUCUAAUGAAGAACAGUACUCAAUCUAUCUUGAGGAGCUAUUUCUUUCAAAAUUUCUUAUGAUUAUAUUCGUUCUAAAAUUAGUUGAGUAUAGACUAGUCUUGCAACAGGCAAUAAGAAAUAUACACAAGUGCGAUAAGACAAAAAGAACAGAAUGGAAGAAAUUACAGAUUCAAGAAGGAUGAGAAGACACAGAUAUAGCGUACAUCAGUGGCUCCAAGAGAACGUUUCAAGGGAUACGUUCCAACGGUGGGUCAGCAUCGACAAGGCUGUGUAUAGGUCCUUAUAUGGUAGCCAGCCGUAUGGCUGUAUAUAGAGAGAGCUCGAAAGAGGCUGAAUACGCAACUGUGAAACACAUUCGUGUCCUUUACGUAUCCGCUUGUUGAAUAUUUCUUCUCUCCCUAUCGUCGGUACACGUGUAGGAGUCUUGCAUCGAGUGCACGCAUACGAAAGCACCCACUGGUCUGCGUUAUGCGUAACGGUAACAAAAGAAGAGGAGAUUGCUUUAGUUGCACGGUUAGCACGUUUGAGUAUGUCCAAUACAUACGAAUUAAUCUUCUCAAGGCUAGUUCCAUUUUUAAAAAUUGUAUAUAACUUUAUGAAAAAAACAAGCCUUUAUACAUAAUAAAGAAUCUCAUAGUAAUGCCAAAAUUAAUGUAGUCUUAUUCAAAUGCUUGAUAUCGUACGAUUUCACGGCAUGUUACAACGUUAAGUCGGUCGAUUUCACAAAAGUCAAGAAAGCAACGGUAGUUCUCAAUGAUUCUAAAAGAUGUAUCUCAUUGGAUUAUCACGAUACAACGAGGGGGGAGAGGAGGGCUAAAAACGACUUCAGUACGCCAGUGUCCGAAGAGAAAUCACGAUAAAUCCUACUUGAUCUCGCGAGGAGAAAAGAGGUCUGCAAGUUAAUAAGGAAACUAGGUUGCUCGCACCGACGCGCUAGCCGGUUUGCAGGACGCGUCGGUGUACGCUACGCUUCGACGAGCCAUGCUCAUCGCGAGAUUGAACAUAUCAUACGAGACUCACGUUUAACUGGGUAUCUUGAAAUCUCUGUACUAUAAUUACCAUGAAGAACGUUUAGUACUUUGUCAUAAACAACACUGAAGAAGAUACGAACAGCUGCAAAGGGAUCGCGCGCAUUAUUCAUAACUUCUACGUAAGUCUGGUGAACGGACCGGCGUGUGUCUGGAACCGAUCGACUGUAAACGCAUCCGGUGGAAUCGAUAAGAUCAGUUAAUCGUCCAAAGGUUUCUGGGCAGACAUUGUCGUGGGUUCGUGGUAAAGAGAGAUCUUACGGCUGACGGCUAACGAGUUCGCGCGGUCUGCCAAUUAACUUGGGUAAUCGCGUUUAAUGGAGGACCCUCAGUGGCGUAUGCAGCGUUGUAAGAAAAGCAAGAAUUCACCGCGAACGAUAAAAGCCACGUCAUACAUUAAAUUAUACCGCUAUUUCGACGCAGUAACCGAUGCGGAAGGAAUCCUCUUCAGCGGUCAAGAUUUCGUGAACGAGUACCAAGAUUGCUUUCGUCAUUACGCUUCUGCAUGACAAGCUACAUCCCGAUUGUGAUACUUGACGAAUAAGGGGUGAUACAGGCUCAGAAGGCACUCUUUUCGUCAGGAACGUACAAUAAAUCUUCUACCAUUUCUACCAUUUGUUUAAUAAAUUAACGAUAUAUUACAAAAAAUUUUUUUAAAGAAAAUCAUAACAUUUUAUAUAAGUUCUAACAUCAAGCUUUUUAAUAUUUUCUUUUUAUUAAUCAUUCCAUUAUAUUCUAGAUUUAAUUGUAGAUUAUGUUCUAGGUUCUAGUCCAGUAUCGACCUUGAGUGUGCUCGAAGAAGUCUUAGGAUAUUUCUCUUCCGGAACGUGAAUGAAAUAGCGGUGUGCGCGCGCCCCUUUGGGGCUGUCGUGUAAAUAUAUACGUGUCGGUUUUAUACAUGUAGGGUUGCAUCGGGGGAGCGGUCGACUGGUGGCAGACGGUUUCAUCGAUUGGCAAUGCGGGGGUCGAAGAGUGGGGUAUCUGAACUCUUCACAGCUAUCUAUGCGUACUACAUAACGUAUCGACGACCUCGGCUUUCAUGGUCAAUGGUAAAAAGAAAUCUAGCUCCUGACGAAAGGCAGUAAAUACUUGCGAUUACAAGGACAAAAGCGUGCUUGCCAGUCGGCAACCAGAAGCGCAUUUGUGUGCUUGAUGCGCGGCGGAGUGCAUCUGUCAAAACCACGCCCUUGUCCCAUCCUAUCAUCCUAACGGACUCACAAGAGCCCAGCGAUAAGUACUUACUUACUUAAUAGUCAAUGCUUCCAAAAUUCGUAUGACUCAUUUAUCCCAAGCUUAAUUAUUAUUUCAAUUGUUUACCGGCAUAUACAAAAAUAUAUUUCUACGGAUUAUAAAGUGUGUGAAACACAAAGGGUGGUAAUAAUAAUAUUUCUUAUUUUAGAUAUUCAAAUAUCGCAAAAGUAUAAUAGCAAUUUAUACAAGACGCUACGAUGAAAUAUUUUAAACGCCUGCUAUACAAAAGAAAAAAAAUGAAAAAAUUUAUUAUUUCGUAUCAACGAUUCAGAUUCGUAGGUGUACAGAACGCGUAUGGAGAUUUGACCACACCCCUCCAUUUUCGAUCGGCGAAUAAUGAAGACGAUCGAUAUCCUCAAAAGUAUAUUAUCCUUAUGGCGAUUUCCAAGUUCAGGCGCAGGAAGAAUGAUUCGAGUGACUAACCGAUACCGAUCGUCUUCGAUCAGUUUUCGUCUUCUUAAAAAACAUGCAAGUAUACACACACGAUACACGAUACCGCCUUUCUUCGAACGGCAACGAAGAAAGCCGGUUCGCUUUGAUACGUCAACGAAAAUAUCACCGUAUGCUUUUUUAUACACUUGAAAGCGCAUGCAAUUUAGAUGAUCGUAGAUAGAAUGCAUCGGCGGCAAAGAG